GACGAACGCUGGCGGCGUGCUUAACACAUGCAAGUCGAACGAAGUGGCGAACGGGUGAGUAACGCGUAAUCAACCUGCCCUUCGGAGGGGGACAACAGUUGGAAACGACUGCUAAAACCGCAUACUGAAGGAGGGGAUGGCGUCUGAUUAGCUAGUUUGGGGGGUAACGGCCCACCAAGGCGAUGAUCAGUAGCCGGUCCGGGGGGAAUAACCGCCACAGUUGGACCGAGACACGGCCCAGACUCCUACGGGAGGCAGCAGGGGGGAAUUAUUCGCAAUGGACGAAAGUCUGACGGAGCAACGCCGCGUGAGUGAUGACGGCCUUCGGGUUGUAAAGCUCUUUUAAGCGGGACGCGGUACCGGAAGAGAAAGCCACGGCUAACUACGUGCCAGCAGCCGCGGUAAUUC
rnacentral:rRNA from 1 species